AUUGAACGCUGGCGGCAGGCCUAACACAUGCAAGUCGAACGAGAGGCGGACGGGUGAGUAAUGGCGGGAAAACUGCCUGAUGGAGGGAGAAAACUACUAGAACAGGUAGCUAAUACCGCAUACCAUCAGAUGUGCCCAGAUGGGAUUAGCUAGUUGGUGGGGUAACGGCUCACCAAGGAGACGAUCCCUAGCUGGUCUAAGAGGAUGACCGGCCACACUGGAACUGAGACACGGUCCAGACUCCUACGGGAGGCAGCAGUGGGGAAUAUUGCACAAUGGUCGCAAGCCUGAUGCAGCCAUGCCGCGUGUAUGAAGAAGGCCUUCGGGUUGUAAAGUACUUUCAGCGGGGAGGCGUUACCCGCAGAUGAAGCACCGGCUAACUCCGUGCCAGCAGCCGCGGUAAUAC
rnacentral:rRNA from 1 species